rnacentral:rRNA from 1 species
GCAGCCUGAUCCAGCCAUACCGCGUGGGUGAAGAAGGCCUUCGGGUUGUAAAGCCCUUUUGUUGGGAAAGAAAAGCAUUCGGUUAAUACCCGGGUGUUCUGACGGUACCCAAAGAAUAAGCACCGGCUAACUUCGUGCCAGCAGCCGCGGUAAUACGAAGGGUGCAAGCGUUACUCGGAAUUACUGGGCGUAAAGCGUGCGUAGGUGGUUGUUUAAGUCCGUUGUGAAAGCCCUGGGCUCAACCUGGGAAUUGCAGUGGAUACUGGGCAACUAGAGUGUGGUAGAGGAUAGUGGAAUUUCCGGUGUAGCAGUGAAAUGCGUAGAGAUCGGAAGGAACAUCUGUGGCGAAGGCGACUAUCUGGGCCAACACUGACACUGAGGCACGAAAGCGUGGGGAGCAAACAGGAUUAGAUACCCUGGUAGUCCACGCCCUAAACGAUGCGAACUGGAUGUUGGGUUCAACUUGGAACCCAGUAUCGAAGCUAACGCGUUAAGUUCGCCGCCUGGGGAGUACGGUCGCAAGACUGAAACUCAAAGGAAUUGACGGGGGCCCGCACAAGCGGUGGAGUAUGUGGUUUAAUUCGAUGCAACGCGAAGAACCUUACCUGGUCUUGACAUCCACGGAACUUUCUAGAGAU